AUUCCAAAAAAAUCCUUCUCACUUCCACACUCACAUAUCCUUAGCCGUAACCUCUUCAUCGAGCUCUCUCCGGAUCUGCCGCACGGUGCCCUCUCGCCGCGCCUCCUCCUCUCGGCGUCCCUGUCGUGCCUCGUCCCUUGUAUUCUACUCAUCCCUUGUAUUUCGCCGCGCCUCUGUCCCUCUCUCCCUCGCCGCGUCUCGCCUACGUGCCUCCGUGCUUCCAUGCUUCCCUCGCCUCGCCGCGCCGUGCCUCCGUCCCUCCCUCACUGCGCCGCCGCUCCGUCCCUCGCGCCUGGUUUCGCUGCCUCGCGCCUGCUCCCGUGGCUUCCAUUUCAGACAGAGCCCAGGACUAGGAUUGAAUAGUGUGGCUAAUGACAAACUUGCAUCAAUAUGACUCUAAAAUUGAAUAGAAUGUCCAAUAGAUGAUCAUCAGAUCAUAACAAAUGGGAAGUACAAGAGCUGCAUGCAUAGGGCAAUUACAAAUCCUGAUCGCGCAAGACUAUUAGUGGCAACAUUUCAUGAUCCAGCGAAGACGGUUAGGAUCUCCCCAGCUUCUGAACUGAUAAAUGAAUCAUCGCCAGCCAAAUACCGGGGUGUUGUUUAUGGAGACUAUGUAAAAUCAUGAUAUACCAAAGGCCCUGAAGGAAAAAGAAACAUUGAUGCUCUUCUGCUUGAAUCUUAGCUUCUUGUGUUUUCUCCUUAGCCUUGUGUUUUAUUGAAUGUAGCAGGUCUAUUCAAGUUGAUUCUUGAAUUGAAUAUAACAUGAUAUAGCAGUUCUAAUCAGAUUUAUCUUUGAAUAUCAUCUUUGACUUCAAAAUGGGUCUUUAAAGACCAUUUUGAAGUAUAUUUGCUAUCAGAUAACAUUACUGAGUAUCACAUUGUAUGUCUAAUCUUGGCAUGUGUAGUUUUUGCUUAUUAAGAAUUUGUUUUUGUAUAUCAGAAGUUUAUUGUCACUAACCAAUUUGUUUAAAUUUGAUAGUUCCAGCAUGAACUUUACGUGUCCUUCAUAUUGCGAGCUUAAUAAUUUCUUGCUGGUGUAUAAUGUAUAUGCUUUACACUUUCUGAAUUGCUGUGUUAUUUACACCAGGUGAAGAAAAUUACAGUACACACAAUGAAAGAUAUGGUUGAAAAAUUGGAGAAAGCACGGUCUGGGAAAAGUGAGGUUUAGGAUGGUUGCAUAUAUUUACUGAUGAACUGAAGUCCUCUCUCAGAAUUCUUCUCGACUCAAAACCGUCCGUUAUCAAUGUUAUUAUUGAUCUCUAUGCUAGUUCAGGGAGUGGGAGACUGCAACACAAGAACUGAUUUUCAGAUUUUAAAUUUCAAUAACACAAAUUACAUAGUCUUGUGGUUUUUUAUUGUGUACCAUGAUAUGAUAAAGACAUAAAUUAUAUUCUAUGAAUCCACACAAAUGUAAAAUGUUACAUUAUCAUAAUGAAUACUUGAUGGAUGAAAACUGAAUU